AGCGCCCCAGUGGAUUUUAUUGCAAUUUUUCCUUGCAUUUUGCAAAAACUUAUGAUCUGGCAACUUGUUUCUAGUUACUAACGUGUUGAGUUACUAACUUGAAUUUUAAUGCUAGUUAAGUAUAGAAGAUAAAAUAUUAAAGACAUAAAGAAAGACAUUUACCUUUUAGCAUUAAAUAUGCAUAUUUGCUUAAAUAAUAGGAAGGAAUAUGUGUUGAAGAUCGGAAGAUCGUCAUGCUUUAAAAAUUCUCAGGUAUCACCCUAGACCCUUUGACGUCACGUUGCUAUGACAACCACAGAUUUCUUCUCAUGCUACAACACUCAAAUAAUAACUUGUGGCUCCUAAUGUGUAUGACUUUAUUUUUGACAAGGAUUAUAAAAAGACAUCAAGUGUGAUGAUUGUGAAACACCUAGAAUAAUAUAUUUUUUUACCGCAAAAAAAAAGAAGCUUUUUGUUGAUAGAAAACACUUCUUACCAUAUGUAAACCCACUACUGAAUAAUAGAGGAUGAGAAAAGCUGGAAUGUAAAGAAUGAGGUUUGACUUUCCAAAAUAGAUAUCCAAAACUUUCGAAGAAGCCAAAUAAAUGAGGAACGCAGAAACACCAAGCAUUCCCAGAAAUAAGACCAACGGACAAAAAAUUUCAUUCUUAACUCUUCCAUUAUUAUGAAUCUGAAAAUAAAAGACAUAGUUUUUACAGGGUAGCUCAUUACAGGU